AUGUUCUAACAGAAAUUAUGUUCUCUUUAACCAUGCAUCUUACUGUUACAUUUUCCUAUUAGGCAGUCCCUCAGGAACUCCAGUUCUGCCCUUCUAAGAUGACUGAUGAGGGAAUGAGGGAACCAUACACUCUUCCAUGGAUGGGAAAGAAGAUGCCCGAUGAGUAGGUACUGCUGAAUUUGAGGAGAUGCUGCCUGACCUGCUGAGUGUUCCCAACAUUUUCUGUUUUCAUGGAUCAUCAAACUUGAAACACUACCCCACAGGAACAUGCCCUUCAGGCUACAAUAUUUCCAUUGAUAUUCCAGCGAUAGGCUACAUAAUUUAAAUUGUGGUGCCCCGCGGCAGCCCGAUGUGCCGUGAAAUUCCUCAGCAACAGGCCUGGCACACCCACUGUGGAGCCGCUAAACCCGUCCCCAAGAGGCAAGCCACCGGCCCGUCCUCCCCAGGGCUGGAGAGGAGGGUGAAGAGAAUCAAGAAGGCGCCUGAUGCAAGGAAACAAAGGGCCGGAAAGCGGAAUGGGAGGUCUUACCUCCAGUGCCCUCACAUGGAUGCUAUGAGGUCAGCUGCGGCAGGUGCCUCCAGGGCACAAAGACUGAAAGGUGGCUAUGAGAGGCAAAGGAUGUGCGGAUCCGGAUCGAGGAGAUGGAGGAGUGGACUGAUGGAGGGCCUGCAGCAGCCUGGUGCUCCACUGGAUCAGGCGCCGCUCCAAGAGCCAAACGGAGUGGUGGAGCAGUAGUGGAGGACACUAACAGCUUUACUUGGCCAGGCAGACCCUAUGACGCUGUCAGAACAAAUUACCUUUCUGAUUAGGUUGAGAACUCUGCACUUAUAAAAACUUGGACUUCAAAUUGGCACCAAAACUCAAAGUUGUGCCUAUGUGUAGAAAUACUUUUACUGAACUGUAUGCAAAAAAAUGUCACUGUACUUCGGUAAAUGUGACAAUAAAGUAAACUUGAACCAUUAAAUCUACCUAAUAUACCCAUUAAAAAGCA